rnacentral:rRNA from 1 species
AUUGAACGCUGGCGGCAUGCCUUACACAUGCAAGUCGAACGGCAGCACGGGAGCAAUCCUGGUGGCGAGUGGCGAACGGGUGAGUAAAGUAUCGGAACGUGCCCAGUCGUGGGGGAUAACGUAGCGAAAGUUACGCUAAUACCGCAUACGAACUAUGGAUGAAAGCGGGGGAUCGCAAGACCUCGCGCGAUUGGAGCGGCCGAUAUCAGAUUAGGUAGUUGGUGGGGUAAAGGCUCACCAAGCCGACGAUCUGUAGCUGGUCUGAGAGGACGACCAGCCACACUGGGACUGAGACACGGACCAGACUCCUACGGGAGGCAGCAGUGGGGAAUUUUGGACAAUGGGCGAAAGCCUGAUCCAGCCAUGCCGCGUGCAGGAUGAAGGCCUUCGGGUUGUAAACUGCUUUUGUACGGAACGAAAAGGUUUGGCCUAAUAAGCUGAGCUCAUGACGGUACCGUAAGAAUAAGCACCGGCUAACUACGUGCCAGCCGCCGCGGUAA